UACGGAGGGGGCUAGCGUUGUUCGGAAUUACUGGGCGUAAAGCGCACGUAGGCGGCUUUGCAAGUUAGAGGUGAAAGCCCGGGGCUCAACUCCGGAAUUGCCUUUUAAACUGCAUCGCUAGAAUUGUGGAGAGGUAAGUGGAAUUCCGAGUGUAGAGGUGAAAUUCGUAGAUAUUCGGAAGAACACCAGUGGCGAAGGCGACUUACUGGACACAUAUUGACGCUGAGGUGCGAAAGCGUGGGGAGCAAACAGG
rnacentral:rRNA from 1 species